rnacentral:rRNA from 1 species
GCUUACGGCCAUACCACUCCCACAACGCUGAUCUCGGAAGUAAAGCCGAGUCGCACCUAGUUAGUACUUGGAUGGGAGACUGCCUGGGAAUACCAGGAGCUGUAAGCU